rnacentral:rRNA from 1 species
ACAUGCAGUCGAACGAGAGAAGAGAAGCUUGCUUUUCUGAUCUAGUGGCGGACGGGUGAGUAACACGUGAGCAAUCUGCCUUUCAGAGGGGGAUACCGAUUGGAAACGAUCGUUAAUACCGCAUAAUAUAAUUGAACCGCAUGAUUUGAUUAUCAAAGAUUUAUCGCUGAAAGAUGAGCUCGCGUCUGAUUAGCUAGUUGGUAAGGUAACGGCUUACCAAGGCGACGAUCAGUAGCCGGACUGAGAGGUUGAUCGGCCACAUUGGGACUGAGACACGGCCCAGACUCCUACGGGAGGCAGCAGUGGGGAAUAUUGCACAAUGGAGGAAACUCUGAUGCAGCGAUGCCGCGUGAGGGAAGAAGGUUUUAGGAUUGUAAACCUCUGUCUUCAGGGACGAAAAAAGACGGUACCUGAGGAGGAAGCUCCGGCUAACUACGUGCCAGCAGCCGCGGUAAUACGUAGGGAGCGAGCGUUGUCCGGAAUUACUGGGUGUAAAGGGGGCGUAGGCGGGAUCGCAAGUCAGAUGUGAAAACUAUGGGCUUAACCCAUAAACUGCAUUUGAAACUGUGGUUCUUGAGUGAAGUAGAGGUAAGCGGAAUUCCUAGUGUAGCGGUGAAAUGCGUAGAUAUUAGGAGGAACAUCAGUGGCGAAGGCGGCUUACUGGGCUUUAACUGACGCUGAGGCUCGAAAGCGUGGGGAGCAAACAGGAUUAGAUACCCUGGUAGUCCACGCCGUAAACGAUGAUUACUAGGUGUGGGGGGACUGACCCCUUCCGUGCCGCAGCAAACGCAAUAAGUAAUCCACCUGGGGAGUACGACCGCAAGGUUGAAACUCAAAGGAAUUGACGGGGGCCCGCACAAGCAGUGGAGUAUGUGGAUUAAUUCGAAGCA